rfam:Picea glauca, whole genome shotgun sequence.
ACAUGCCUACAACAUAGUGCUAAUGCAUCGGAUCCCAUUAGAACUUUGUAGUUAAGCCUGCUCAUGCUAGAGUAGUACUGGGAUGGGUAACUGCCCGAGGAAUCCUAGUGUUUUACAUGCC